rnacentral:rRNA from 1 species
GAGGGAGCCUGAGAAACGGCUACCACAUCCAAGGAAGGCAGCAGGCGCGCAAAUUACCCAAUCCCGACACGGGGAGGUAGUGACAAUAAAUACUGAUACGGGGCUCUUUCGGGUCUCGUAAUUGGAAUGAGUACAAUCUAAAUCCCUUAACGAGGAACAAUUGGAGGGCAAGUCUGGUGCCAGCAGCCGCGGUAAUUCCAGCUCCAAUAGCGUAUAUUAAAGUUGUUGCAGUUAAAAAGCUCGUAGUUGAACCUUGGGUCUGGCUGGCCGGUCCGCCUCACCGCGAGUACUGGUCCGGCUGGACCUUUYCUUCUGGGGAAUCCCAUGGCCUUCACUGGCUGUGGGGGGAACCAGGACUUUUACUGUGAAAAAAUUAGAGUGUUCAAAGCAGGCCUUUGCUCGAAUACAUUAGCAUGGAAUAAUAGAAUAGGACGUGCGGUUCUAUUUUGUUGGUUUCUAGGACCGCCGUAAUGAUUAAUAGGGAUAGUCGGGGGCGUCAGUAUUCAGCUGUCAGARGUGAAAUUCUUGGAUUUGCKGAAGACUAACUACUGCGAAAAGCAYUCGCCAAGGAUGUUUUCAUUAAUCASGGGACGAMAMUUARGKGSAUCGAAGACRAUCARAUACYGUCGUAGUCUUAACC